rnacentral:rRNA from 1 species
GAUGACCCACCCAGGGGGCUUAACACAUGCAAGUCGAGGGGCAGCAUGCCCUUAAGUUGCUAAGGCCGAUGGCGACCGGCGCACGGGUGAGUAACACGUAUCCAACCUGCCGUCUACUCUUGGACAGCCUUCUGAAAGGAAGAUUAAUACAAGAUGGCAUCAUGAGUCCGCAUGUUCACAUGAUUAAAGGUAUUCCGGUAGACGAUGGGGAUGCGUUCCAUUAGAUAGUAGGCGGGGUAACGGCCCACCUAGUCUUCGAUGGAUAGGGGUUCUGAGAGGAAGGUCCCCCACAUUGGAACUGAGACACGGUCCAAACUCCUACGGGAGGCAGCAGUGAGGAAUAUUGGUCAAUGGGCGAGAGCCUGAACCAGCCAAGUAGCGUGAAGGAUGACUGCCCUAUGGGUUGUAAACUUCUUUUAUAAAGGAAUAAAGUCGGGUAUGCAUACCCGUUUGCAUGUACUUUAUGAAUAAGGAUCGGCUAACUCCGUGCCAGCAGCCGCGGUAAUACGGAGGAUCCGAGCGUUAUCCGGAUUUAUUGGGUUUAAAGGGAGCGUAGAUGGAUGUUUAAGUCAGUUGUGAAAGUUUGCGGCUCAACCGUAAAAUUGCAGUUGAUACUGGAUAUCUUGAGUGCAGUUGAGGCAGGCGGAAUUCGUGGUGUAGCGGUGAAAUGCUUAGAUAUCACGAAGAACUCCGAUUGCGAAGGCAGCCUGCUAAGCUGCAACUGACAUUGAGGCUCGAAAGUGUGGGUAUCAAACAGGAUUAGAUACCCUGGUAGUCCACACGGUAAACGAUGAAUACUCGCUGUUUGCGAUAUACAGCAAGCGGCCAAGCGAAAGCGUUAAGUAUUCCACCUGGGGAGUACGCCGGCAACGGUGAAACUCAAAGGAAUUGACGGGGGCCCGCACAAGCGGAGGAACAUGUGGUUUAAUUCGAUGAUACGCGAGGAACCUUACCCGGGCUUAAAUUGCAGAUGAAUUACGGUGAAAGCCGUAAGCCGCAAGGCAUCUGUGAAGGUGCUGCAUGGUUGUCGUCAGCUCGUGCCGUGAGGUGUCGGCUUAAGUGCCAUAACGAGCGCAACCCUUGUUGUCAGUUACUAACAGGUUCCGCUGAGGACUCUGACAAGACUGCCAUCGUAAGAUGUGAGGAAGGUGGGGAUGACGUCAAAUCAGCACGGCCCUUACGUCCGGGGCUACACACGUGUUACAAUGGGGGGUACAGAGGGCCGCUACCACGCGAGUGGAUGCCAAUCCCAAAAACCUCUCUCAGUUCGGACUGGAGUCUGCAACCCGACUCCACGAAGCUGGAUUCGCUAGUAAUCGCGCAUCAGCCACGGCGCGGUGAAUACGUUCCCGGGCCUUGUACACACCGCCCGUCAAGCCAUGGGAGCCGGGGGUACCUGAAGUACGUAACCGCAAGGAUCGUCCUAGGGUAAAACUGGUGACUGGGGCUAAGU